AUUGAACGCUGGCGGUAUGCUUAACACAUGCAAGUCGAACGGUAACGGGCCCUGCUUGCAGGGUGCCGACGAGUGGCGGACGGGUGAGUAACGCGUAGGGAUCUGCCUUAGAGUGGAGAAUAACUUGGGGAAACUCAAGCUAAUACUGCAUAUUCUCGCAAGAGGAAAGUGGGGGAACGUAAGGCCUCAUGCUCUAAGAUGAACCUGCGUUGGAUUAGCUAGUUGGUGGGGUAAAGGCCUACCAAGGCAACAAGCCAAAGCUGGUCUGAGAGGACGACCAGCCACACUGGGACUGAGACACGGCCCAGACUCCUACGGGAGGCAGCAGUGGGGAAUUUUGGACAAUGGGCGAAAGCCUGAUCCAGCAAUGCCGCGUGUGUGAAGAAGGCCUUCGGGUUGUAAAGCACUUUUGUCCGGAAGGAAAUGGCUCUGGUUAAUACCUGGGGUCGAUGACGGUACCGGAAGAAUAAGGACCGGCUAACUACGUGCCAGCCGCCGCAGUAAAAC
rnacentral:rRNA from 1 species